UACGUAGGGGCCAAGCGUUGUCCGGAUUUAUUGGGCGUAAAGAGCUCGUAGGCGGUUCGGCAAGUCGAAUGUGAAAUCUCCGCGCUCAACGUGGAGGGGUCAUUCGAUACUGCCGUGACCUGAGUACGGUAGGGGAGUGUGGAAUUCCCGGUGUAGCGGUGAAAUGCGCAGAGAUCGGGAGGAACACCCGUAGCGAAGGCGGCACUCUGGGCCGAUACUGACGCUGAGGAGCGAAAGCGUGGGGAGCGAACAGG
rnacentral:rRNA from 1 species